GGGGAAGGGAGGACGGCUGAAGUGUGCGUAAAAGUCGGGCUUCAUCUGCGGAUAAAUGGCGCCACCUGAGCGGACAAAACCCAGGGCAAGGCCCGCGGUCACUUUUCUUACCAAGCCAGUGAGAGGAGAGGCGAAGGUGUCAGUGUUGAAUAUACUGGGACCCUUCUCUAACCAACAGACCCUGAUGUCUGCAAAAAGGAGCACCCCAGUGGAACGACCACCAUGUGACAACUCUGUCUCCAAAAUGACAACUCAGGCAGCCUGUAAACCUCACAGGUCAAGCACUGCGUCAAAGGAGCCACACACACCGCGCAGCAUGUCAAGAAUGACAUCGUCUCUAAAUCAUGACCAGGUUCCCAGAAGAAUUGGUUCAUCCACACAGCCUCUGAUAGGCCAUCCUCCUAGGCUGCGUCCGCUGUGCUUGGCAGGGGCCCCAGGCUCUGCACUAAAGGAGUGUCUUAUCAUCAGAUCUCUGCACCACAAGACCCAGAAACCGACACCAAAUCGUGCUGCAGGGCAAUAACUUGUUCACUUCCUCUUCGUCUGAACGGCU